rnacentral:rRNA from 1 species
AGUGAACGCUGGCGGUAGGCCUAACACAUGCAAGUCGAACGGCAGCACAGUAAGAGCUUGCUCUUACGGGUGGCGAGUGGCGGACGGGUGAGGAAUACAUCGGAAUCUACUUUUUCGUGGGGGAUAACGUAGGGAAACUUACGCUAAUACCGUAUACGACCUACGGGUGAAAGCAGGGGAUCUUCGGACCUUGCGCGAUUGAAUGAGCCGAUGUCGGAUUAGCUAGUUGGCGGGGUAAAGGCCCACCAAGGCGACGAUCCGUAGCUGGUCUGAGAGGAUGAUCAGCCACACUGGAACUGAGACACGGUCCAGACUCCUACGGGAGGCAGCAGUGGGGAAUAUUGGACAAUGGGCGCAAGCCUGAUCCAGCCAUACCGCGUGGGUGAAGAAGGCCUUCGGGUUGUAAAGCCCUUUUGGUGGGAAAGAAAAGCAGCAGGUUAAUACCCCGCUGUUCUGACGGUACCCAAAGAAUAAGCACCGGCUAACUUCGUG